rnacentral:SRP_RNA from 1 species
GCCAGGCGUAGUGGCGGGUGCCUGUAGUUUCAGCUAUUCAGGAGGCUGAGGCUGGAGGAUCACUUGAGCUCAGGAAUUCUGGGCUAUAGUGGCUAUGCCGAUCAGGUGUCCACAAUAAGUUCGGCAUCAAUAUGGUGACCCUCCAGGAGCGGGGGACCACCAGCUUGCCUAAGGAGGGGUGAACUGGCCCAGGUCGGAAACGGAGCAGGUCAAAACUCCCAUGCUGAUCAGUAGUGGGAUUGCACCUGUGAAUAGCCACUGCACUCCAGCCUGGGCAACAUAGUGAGACCCCCAUCUCU